rnacentral:rRNA from 1 species
CAGUAGCCGCGGUAAAACGAAGGGGGCUAGCGUUGCUCGGAAUUACUGGGCGUAAAGGGAGCGUAGGCGGACAUUUAAGUCAGGGGUGAAAUCCCAGAGCUCAACUCUGGAACUGCCUUUGAUACUGGGUGUCUUGAGUGUGAUAGAGGUAUGUGGAACUCCGAGUGUAGAGGUGAAAUUCGUAGAUAUUCGGAAGAACACCAGUGGCGAAGGCGACAUACUGGAUCAUUACUGACGCUGAGGCUCGAAAGCGUGGGGAGCAAACAGGAUUAGAUACCCCCGUAGUCCCUGUCUCUUAUAC